CCCCUAAAUUUCGAGUCUGACGGAGCACGCCGCGUGAGUGAUGAAGGUUUUCGGAUCGUAAAGCUCUGUUGUUAGGGAAGAACAAGUGCCGUUCAAAUAGGGCGGCACCUUGACGGUACCUAACCAGAAAGCCACGGCUAACUACGUGCCAGCAGCCGCGGUAAUACGUAGGUGGCAAGCGUUGUCCGGAAUUAUUGGGCGUAAAGGGCUCGCAGGCGGUUUCUUAAGUCUGAUGUGAAAGCCCCCGGCUCAACCGGGGAGGGUCAUUGGAAACUGGGGAACUUGAGUGCAGAAGAGGAGAGUGGAAUUCCACGUGUAGCGGUGAAAUGCGUAGAGAUGUGGAGGAACACCAGUGGCGAAGGCGACUCUCUGGUCUGUAACUGACGCUGAGGAGCGAAAGCGUGGGGAGCGAACAGGAUUAGAUACCCUGGUAGUCCACGCCGUAAACGAUGAGUGCUAAGUGUUAGGGGGUUUCCGCCCCUUAGUGCUGCAGCUAACGCAUUAAGCACUCC
rnacentral:rRNA from 1 species